rnacentral:rRNA from 1 species
CGCGCAGGCGGCCGACGUAGUCAGGCGUGAAAGCCCCGGGCUUAACCUGGGAAUUGCGUUUGAUACUCGUUGGCUGGAGUUCGGGAGAGGAUGGUGGAAUUCCCAGUGUAGAGGUGAAAUUCGUAGAUAUUGGGAAGAACACCGGUGGCGAAGGCGGCCAUCUGGACCGAAACUGACGCUGAGGCGCGAAAGCGUGGGGAGCAAACAGGAUUAGAUACCCUGGUAGUCCACGCCGUAAACGAUGUGUGCUAGACGUUGGCGGGCCUAGCCUGCCAGUGUCGCAGCUAACGCGUUAAGCACACCGCCUGGGGAGUACGGCCGCAAGGUUAAA